AUGAGCAACGCAGGGUUUUCUUGGUCUUGGUCUUCUUCAAUUCCCAGUGGAUUAAAGUGGAUUAAUCCAAACACAUGGAGGUCCACCAAGGAAAAGAAGGGAAGAGUUCUCCGACAACAAAUCAAUGCAAUCUCACAGUCUUCUGUCCUAGAUGAUGCAGAAAUUGAUGAUGCUCAAGUCCUUACUUUGACCAGAGAGGAUCUGAAUGAGCUUUUUCCAGGUAUUAAGAACUUUCAGCUCAGAAGGACGAUUAUGGCAAUUAUCACAGACACAGUGAAGGAUUCACUUCAACCUGGCCCAGAAACAUUUGCCGGUGCACUGAAGAAUUUAAUGCACAAAAGCAAUGAUGCCACUGUACAGGAUGUUUUUUUGAAUGAGUCCCUUCGAGCAUUCAGAGAUGUGGAGGAUCAGCUCAAAGCAGCACAGGCAUCUUUGAAACCGUACAUUGAGGUCUUGAAUAGUCUCACAGAGGCAUCAUCUAGACAAGAGAAGUGGGAUACAGAGGGAACGUCAAGCAGGAGAGAAUUUCCAAGCUCAUUCCAAACACAUAUGAUCUCUCCAACCAUUGAGCCUUCAGUGAGAGUGUUUCCACUUGUGUGCGGUCAAACCUUGGGAACUGACAGGCAGAUUCUAGCACAACUUAAGGGAGUUAGAGAAAGUGAAUUACAGGACUGUCAGCUGAUACUGGUCUUCUGUCCUGUGGUCUCACGAGCUGGAACUGACACUGGAGAAGCACUUAAGAAAAUUUCAGCUGAUAAACCAGCAGUACUGGUGACAAUGCACCAUACCUUCCACCCUAACUACGUGUGUCCAAGCUUCAACGUAGCAUCAUCUCAAGUGAACAUUGUGGAACGUGUUAAUGUGCUCUUCCACGACUCAUGCCACGGUCUUCUUAUGUGUCCAGCAAAUGAAAAUGCAAUGAUCAAACUUCAGUCUGUCUUAAACCAGUAUAUGUAA
ensembl:lncRNA